CUACGGGAGGCUCCAGUGAGGAAUAUUGCACAAUGGGGGGAACCCUGAUGCAGCAACGCCGCGUGGAGGAUGACGCAUUUCGGUGUGUAAACUCCUUUUAUAUGUCAAGAAAAUGACGGUAGCAUAUGAAUAAGCACCGGCUAACUCCGUGCCAGCAGCCGCGGUAAUACGGAGGGUGCAAGCGUUACCCGGAAUCACUGGGCGUAAAGAACGCGUAGGCGGGUUGGAAAGUCAGGUGUGAAAUCCUACAGCUUAACUGUAGAACUGCACUUGAAACUUCUAAUCUAGAGUAUGGGAGGGGGAGAUGGAAUUAGUGGUGUAGGGGUAAAAUCCGUAGAUAUCACUAGGAAUACCUAAAGCGAAGGCGAUCUCCUGGAACAUUACUGACGCUAAGGCGUGAAAGCGUGGGGAGCAAACAGGAUUAGAUACCCCGUAGUC
rnacentral:rRNA from 1 species